rnacentral:misc_RNA from 1 species
AUUGAUACAGUUUUUGUACUAUAUUGGUACGCGAAGCUUCCAUUUCCGCUUCUGGCGGUUGUGUUUGGUCAAUUUCUUUUAACCCGGGUUUACGGACCC